CAGAGGGCUUCUGAAUUUCAUUAGUUUAUAGUUAGAGGUUGAACUGUGCGUCUGUAAUGCUAAAUUGCUUGUUAUUGUAUGUAUACCUUCCACGUGGUGAGACCAUGUGAAUCCUUCCACUUCAUUUCAGAUGAGAAACUCCACCACAUAGAGUCGGACAGGGACCAGCCCAGUCUCCCAGCAAAGGGUGGUAGAAUUCACAAAGGAAGAAUCUUAUCUUCAACACUGGCUGUAAGGACCUUCCACCUAAAGAGUUAGCUGUCUCCCAGUCGCUCCACCACUCUCUCAGCAAACCAGACUCGACACCUGGAGUCAUCAUUGAUGUGUCCCGUGUGCUCUUCUGGACAUUCUCUGAACCACCACCCUGCAUGACUGCGGACGGCAUGGCAUGAUCCUGUUAGAUGAGGCUAUCAGUGCGUAUGAGCACAGACUUGAGUCCUGGCUCCACUGCUUGCUGGGUCCUUGGAGGGAUUUCACUUCUCUUUGCCUGUUUCCUCAUCUAUAAACUGGGGAUCCUGAGGUCGUUGCCGGGAUUAAAGGAGCCAAUAUCUGCAGAGGUCUCAGAACAGCACCUGAUGUGAUAAAGACCUUAUCCAGUUAAGUGUCUUAGCCAGUUCUCCAGGCUGCUAUCUUCCCAGCAAGCUACAGCACUUACAGCCAUCAUAAUUGCUUCCUUUAAUUCCAAAAAGCACUGCUAAUAAAUACUCUAGUGUUUACGAAAACAUUGCUAGAACCUAGAGUCCAUUGAUGACACCCCCCUCCAGUAAGUCACUUGUAGGACAUCUCUCUGCUCAGCCAUUUGCCUGCUGUUGAGUUGCAGGAGCCAGUUCUUAAACCUCGAAACAGAAGUCCUCUACAGCCUGUCCUCAGUGCCCCCAAGUCAAGCAUUCCAAAAUCUCUCCUUUAGCCCCAGCAAGUAAAAGCCCUGUUGAAAUAAUAAUUUCUACAGAUAUGCUCCCUGCUCACAGCAAGACUAUCUUUUACGUUGUUAUGCAAAGCAACUUAGCAACUCAUCCUGAAGUACUCUGUCCUAAAGCAGGACUUGCUUUUACCUUUGCAUAACUCAAAAGUCACAUUGUAAGUUGCUUUCUUAUAAAUAAAAGAGCAAUCUUCCCUUAAAGAAUUCU
rnacentral:lncRNA from 1 species